AGAGUUUGAUCCUGGCUCAGAUUGAACGCUGGCGGCAUGCCUAACACAUGCAAGUCGAACGGUAGCAGGAGCUAGCUUGCUAGCUUGCUGACGAGUGGCGGACGGGUGAGUAAUACGUAGGAAUCUGCCUUGCAGCGGGGGAUAGCCCGGGGAAACUCGGAUUAAUACCGCAUACGCUCUACGGAGGAAAGUGGGCCUCUUCUUGAAAGCUCACACUGCAAGAUGAGCCUACGUCCGAUUAGCCAGUUGGUGGGGUAAAAGCCUACCAAGGCGACGAUCGGUAGCUGGUCUGAGAGGAUGAUCAGCCACACCGGGACUGAGACACGGCCCGGACUCCUACGGGAGGCAGCAGUGGGGAAUAUUGGACAAUGGGCGCAAGCCUGAUCCAGCAAUGCCGCGUGUGUGAAGAAGGCCUGCGGGUUGUAAAGCACUUUUAUCAGGAAAGAAACGGCCUGGGUUAAUACCCCAUGGCAAUUGACGGUACCUGUUGAAUAAGCACCGGCUAACUCCGUGCCAGCAGCCGCGGUAAUACGGAGGGUGCAAGCGUUAAUCGGAAUUACUGGGCGUAAAGCGUGCGUAGGCGGCCGCGUAAGUCGGAUGUGAAAGCCCCGGGCUUAACCUGGGAAUUGCAUUCGAUACUAC
rnacentral:rRNA from 1 species